rnacentral:rRNA from 1 species
AAAUUGGUGCUAAUACCGGAUGUGACCGCUGACCGCAUGGUCUGGUGGUGGAAAGAUUCAUCGGCUGAGGAUGGGCCCGCGGCCUAUCAGCUUGUUGGUGGGGUAGUGGCCCACCAAGGCGACGACGGGUAGCCGGCCUGAGAGGGUGACCGGCCACACUGGGACUGAGACACGGCCCAGACUCCUACGGGAGGCAGCAGUGGGGAAUAUUGCGCAAUGGGCGGAAGCCUGACGCAGCGACGCCGCGUGAGGGAUGACGGCCUUCGGGUUGUAAACCUCUUUCAGUAGGGACGAAGCGAAAGUGACGGUACCUACAGAAGAAGCACCGGCCAACUACGUGCCAGCAGCCGCGGUAAUACGUAGGGUGCAAGCGUUGUCCGGAAUUAUUGGGCGUAAAGAGCUCGUAGGCGGUCUGUCGCGUCGGCUGUGAAAACCCGAGGCUCAACCUCGGGCCUGCAGUCGAUACGGGCAAACUAGAGUACUGCAGGGGAGACUGGAAUUCCUGGUGUAGCGGUGAAAUGCGCAGAUAUCAGGAGGAACACCGGUGGCGAAGGCGGGUCUCUGGGCAGUAACUGACGCUGAGGAGCGAAAGCGUGGGGAGCGAACAGGAUUAGAUACCCUGGUAGUCCACGCCGUAAACGUUGGGCGCUAGGUGUGGGGGCCAUUCCACGGUCUCCGUGCCGCAGCUAACGCAUUAAGCGCCCCGCCUGGGGAGUACGGCCGCAAGGCUAAAACUCAAAGGAAUUGACG